AGCUAUAUUGUGUUGAAACCAUCUUCAAAGUGGUUUAUUCCUAAACUUCAAUUUAUUGUAGCUA
rnacentral:tRNA from 1 species